GCAAAACGCGAAGAACCUUACCCGGGUUUGAACGUAGGGAGACGAGGGGUGGAAACAUCCUUUUUCAGCAAUGACUGCCUACGAGGUGCUGCAUGGUUGUCGUCAGCUCGUGCCGUGAGGUGUCGGCUUAAGUGCCAUAACGAGCGCAACCCUUAUUUCCAGUUACUAACAGGUGAAGCUGAGGACUCUGGAGAGACUGCCAGCGUAAGCUGUGAGGAAGGGUGGGGAUGACGUACAAAUCAGCACGGCCCUUACAUCCGGGGCGACACACGUGUUACAAUGGUAAGGACAAAGGGCAGCUACCGGGCGACCGGAUGCGAAUCUCUAAACCUUAUCUCAGUUCGGAUCGGAGUCUGCAACUCGACUCCGUGAAGCUGGAUUCGCUAGUAAUCGCGCAUCAGCCAUGGCGCGGUGAAUACGUUCCCGGGUCUUGUACACACCG
rnacentral:rRNA from 1 species